AUUGAACGCUGGCGGCAUGCCUUACACAUGCAAGUCGAACGGGAACAGGUCUUCGGAUGCUGACGAGUGGCGAACGGGUGAGUAAUACAUCGGAACGUGCCCGAUCGUGGGGGAUAACGAGGCGAAAGCUUUGCUAAUACCGCAUACGAUCUACGGAUGAAAGCGGGGGAUCUUCGGACCUCGCGCGGACGGAGCGGCCGAUGGCAGAUUAGGUAGUUGGGGGGAUAAAAGCUUACCAAGCCGACGAUCUGUAGCUGGUCUGAGAGGAUGAUCAGCCACACUGGGACUGAGACACGGCCCAGACUCCUACGGGAGGCAGCAGUGGGGAAUUUUGGACAAUGGGCGAAAGCCUGAUCCAGCCAUGCCGCGUGCAGGAUGAAGGCCUUCGGGUUGUAAACUGCUUUUGUACGGAACGAAAAGCCUCUUUCUAAUAAAGAGGGGUCAUGACGGUACCGUAAGAAUAAGCACCGGCUAACUACGUGCCAGCCGCCGCCGUAA
rnacentral:rRNA from 1 species